CAUCGUCUCCGGCGAAGCCAGCCUUCACCAGGCCGGAGCCGUUGUCGCACACAAGGGCGGUAGUCUCAUCGUCGUCACACAUGUUGGCUUCUGCGGGCGAAAAAACGUCGAUUAAGUUUGCAGGACGCUAUCCCAGCUGAAUUUGAGCAAAGGCGGACUACACUUUGGACUGAAUACCAGUCAGACACAAGUUCCAGAGUGGUUCUAUCCCAAGUGUGUCCCCCCCUAUCCCGGAUGUGUGGCCCCUAGGAGUCCCAGCAUCUUACCUUAGGU